AACGAACGCUGGCGGCAUGCCUAACACAUGCAAGUCGAACGAGACCUUCGGGUCUUGUGGCGCACGGGUGCGUAACGCGUGGGAACCUGCCCUUAGGUUCGGAAUAACUCCCCGAAAGGGGUGCUAAUACCGGAUAAUGCCUUCGGACCAAAGAUUUAUUGCCUUUGGAUGGGCCCUCGUUGGAUUAGCUAGUUGGUAGGGUAAAAGCCUACCAAGGCGACGAUCCAUAGCUGGUCUGAGAGGAUGAUCAGCCACACUGGGACUGAGACACGGCCCAGAAUCCUACGGGAGGGAGCGGUGGGGAAUAUUGGAAAAUGGGCGAAAGCCUGGUCGAGCAAUGCCGCGUGAGUGAUGAAGGCCUGAGGGUAGUAAAGCUCUUUUACCCGGGAUGAUAAUGACAGUACCGGGAGAAUAAGCUCCGGCUAACUCCGUG
rnacentral:rRNA from 1 species